CCCUUAGAUGUCCUGGGCCGCACGCGCGCUACACUGACAUGUUCAACAAGCCUCCUAGUUCGACAGGAUUUGGGAAAUCUUUGAACGCAUGUCGUGAUAGGGAUAGAUCAUUGCAAUUAUUGAUCUUGAACGAGGAAUUCCUAGUAAACGCGAGUCAUCAGCUCGCAUUGAUUACGUCCCUGCCCUUUGUACACACCGCCCGUCGCACCUACCGAUGAAUCGUCCGGUGAAGUUCAUGGAGUGGUGGUUGUUCCAGCUGCUGUCGAAGUGAAAUGGACCUCACGAUUUAGAGGAAGGAGAAGUCGUAACA
rnacentral:rRNA from 1 species